UCUGAGGCAGAGAACGAGGAGCUGCCAGAAAAAAGGAACAGGAAGCCAGUCCAUCAUCUCGGGGACUCUGAUGAUAGCGAGGAAGACCAGGGAAAUGGUGACCUCGCAUCUUUGGGGUUGGCAAGCCAAUUGUACAGGGAGACUCCACCGUCUCGCCGAGUGCCAGCAAGAGUCAUGAGUACUUGUCAACUCGACUCCUCAACUGGAGAUAACUUUCUAGCACCUCACCAUGGGGAAGGAUGUAUUCAUAUGCCUUCACCAGCACCUGCAUUAAACAUGCAGAGAGUUACACAAGUUCUUACCACCUUGGGGCACCAUUCAGACAACUACAAAGACGCAUUAAAAAUAAUGCAACAAUAUGGAAAGGGCUGCGACACCUCAGACCUGCAAUCUGAGGCAGAGAACGAGGAGCUGCCAGAAAAAAGGAACAGGAAGCCAGUGUAAGUGUGUUCCGUCUUGUUUUUGUCAUGUUUCUACAGUAAUAGGAAGGUUAUUUCCGGUAGCAUUCAAAAAUAGACCAGAGAUGCUUGUACUAUAUGUAUAUUUGGCAAUUUUGGUAUUGCAAUAAUCCUAAUGAUAUG